GAUGAACGCUAGCUACAGGCUUAACACAUGCAAGUCGAGGGGAAACGAUAUUGGAAGCUUGCUUCUGAUAGGCGUCGACCGGCGCACGGGUGAGUAACGCGUAUCCAACCUGCCCAUCACUUGGGGAUAACCUUGUGAAAGUAAGACUAAUACCCAAUGACGUCUCUAGAAGACAUCUGAAAGAGAUUAAAGAUUUAUCGGUGAUGGAUGGGGAUGCGUCUGAUUAGCUUGUUGGCGGGGUAACGGCCCACCAAGGCGACGAUCAGUAGGGGUUCUGAGAGGAAGGUCCCCCANAUUGGAACUGAGACACGGUCCAAAACUCCUACGGGAGGCAGCAGUGAGGAAUAUUGGUCAAUGGACGAGAGUCUGAACCAGCCAAGUAGCGUGCAGGAUGACGGCCCUAUGGGUUGUAAACUGCUUUUAUAAGGGAAUAAAGUGAGUCUCGUGAGACUUUUUGCAUGUACCUUAUGAAUAAGGACCGGCUAAUUCCGUGCCAGCAG
rnacentral:rRNA from 1 species